rnacentral:rRNA from 1 species
UGGGGAAUAUUGCACAAUGGGCGCAAGCCUGAUGCAGCCAUGCCGCGUGUAUGAAGAAGGCCUUCGGGUUGUAAAGUACUUUCAGUCGGGAGGAAGGUGGUAAGGUUAAUAACCUUAUCAAUUGACGUUACCGACAGAAGAAGCACCGGCUAACUCCGUGCCAGCAGCCGCGGUAAUACGGAGGGUGCAAGCGUUAAUCGGAAUUACUGGGCGUAAAGCGCACGCAGGCGGUUUGUUAAGUCAGAUGUGAAAUCCUCGGGCUCAACCUGGGAACUGCAUCUGAUACUGGCAAGCUUGAGUCUCGUAGAGGGGGGUAGAAUUCCAGGUGUAGCGGUGAAAUGCGUAGAGAUCUGGAGGAAUACCGGUGGCGAAGGCGGCUCUCUGGUCUGUAACUGACGCUGAGGCUCGAAAGCGUGGGGAGCAAACAGG